rnacentral:sRNA from 1 species
CCGGGAAGCCAAAUGCCUCUCAUCUGCCCAGAAUCUCCAAGCCAGGCUGGUUCUCUGCAUCCUUUCAAUGACCUGUUUUCUUCUGUAACCACAGAUUCGG